UAUCAAGAAAAUUGAAGGCCAUCACCAAGCACCUCACGGCCAAGAACAAAGGAAAACCCAAAUCAAAUUCAAGCCACUCCAAAAUUAUUUCCUUGAUACAAACCCACUAUAUUGAAGCCCCUAAGUAGCGUGGAAGUAUUGUUUGGGUCAUCCAACCAUCCAUUAUGUCAAUUAGCAAACCCUAACUAUUUGGUGGGUGGAAGAAGAAAGAUCGUGGGCAGCCCGAAUCAUAGUUUGGACUUAGCUUGAGUUGGAUCAUAUUGGAGAGCGUUUGAGGUACAGACGCACAGCCUGGUGAUCCACCUGUUUAGGACACCCUUUCUGCUAUUCGGAGUGCUCCUCUCUUUCCGGAGCUUAUACUUUUGGUAUAUAUAUUUAUUAGUGCAUUUGUAUAUAUUCGUUCAUGGGUACGGCGGGGCCCUGUCCCGUCAUAUGAUUCUGUCGGUCUGUUUAGAGGUCUGUGGACAUGUUUGUGGGUUAGGGUCUUUCUGUAUGGAUGUAUGUACAUGUCGUUUGGGCGAUCCCAUACGCCGAGGCGGCCGGUCCGCAUAUGUUGUUUGGGCGAUCCUAUACGCCGAGGCGGCCGGUCCGCAUAUGUUUAUAUAUUGCUUGGUUAGCCCUGUGUAGCUCUUGUUGGUAUUUUCUGCGUGCAGGGUAUAUUGGAUAGUCCGUAAAACAAAGGAAACUCUGCCGAAAUUUUCUGAAAAUUACCUAAAUUUGAAAUAAAGUCUUGUCGGCUUCCGCCAUAUACUAGAAUGAGUUGAUAGAAUUCGAGAUAAUAUUUGAUAGAUGGGUUCGGGUGCCCAGAUCGGGCACUAGUCACGGCCUACGGGGUUGGGUCGUGACAGAAGUGGUAUCAGAGCGGUUUGUCCUCGGAAUG